rnacentral:rRNA from 1 species
CAGUCGCACGGUAAUACGUAGGUCCCGAGCGUUGUCCGGAUUUAUUGGGCGUAAAGCGAGCGCAGGCGGUUAGAUAAGUCUGAAGUUAAAGGCUGUGGCUUAACCAUAGUACGCUUUGGAAACUGUUUAACUUGAGUGCAAGAGGGGAGAGUGGAAUUCCAUGUGUAGCGGUGAAAUGCGUAGAUAUAUGGAGGAACACCGGUGGCGAAAGCGGCUCUCUGGCUUGUAACUGACGCUGAGGCUCGAAAGCGUGGGGAGCAAACAGGAUUAGAUACCCCUGUAGUCCCUGUCUCUUAUACAC